rnacentral:rRNA from 1 species
GAUGAACGCUGGCGGCAUGCUUAAUACAUGCAAGUCGGACGAACAGACGUGGAUCUUGCUCCUGACGGGUGAGCAACGCGCAGGUAAGUGACACGUGGAUGACCACCCUAGAUGGAAGGGGCUACUUAUAGCACCCGGACCUAGUACCGGAUGAUAUAAUGAACCGCAGGGGUCGCUAGUGAAAGAUGGGCUUGCUGUUGAUUCUAGAUGUAACCGCGCCGAAGGAGGUAGUUGGUAAGGUGAGGGCUUACCAAGGCAACGAUACGUAGCCGACCUGAGAGGGUGAUCGGCCACACUGGAACUGAGACACGGUCCAGACGCCUACGGGAGGCAGCAGUAGGGAAUCUUCGGCAAUGGGCGAAAGCCUGACGGAGCAACGCCGCGUGAGUGAUGAAGGUCUUCGGAUCGUAAAACUCUGUGAUUAGGGAAGAACAAAUGUGUAAGUAACUGUGCACGUCUUGACGGUACCUAAUCAGAAAGCCACGGCUAACUACGUG